ensembl:misc_RNA 7SK 7SK RNA
GGAUGUGAGGGUGAUCUGGCUGCGACAUCUGUCACCCCAUUGAUUGCCAGGGUUGAUUUGGCUGAUCUGGCUGGCUAGGCAGGUGUCCCCUUGCUCCCUCACCACUCCAUGUGUGUCCCUCUCGAAGCUGCACGCUUGGUCAAAGAGGACGGCCUUCCCCAAAUAGAGACGGACCAGUCUUCAGUCAAGGGUAUACGAGUAGCUGCGCUCCCCUGCUAGAACCUCUAAACAAGCUCUCAAGGUCCAUAUAGAUGUCCAUAAUAUUCUUGCAUAAUCUUUUGAACCUCUACCUCAUCUGU